rnacentral:rRNA from 2 species
UGGGUAACCUGCCUUUAACUCUGGGAUAACGGUUGGAAACGACCGCUAAUACCAGAUACGGUGAGAAGAAGACAUCUUUUUCUUAUUAAAGUGGGGGAUCGUAAGACCUCGCGGUUAAAGAGGGGCCCAUGCGAUAUCAGCUAGUUGGUGUGGUAAAGGCGCACCAAGGCUAAGACGUCUAGGCGGAUUGAGAGAUUGACCGCCAACACUGGGACUGAGAACUGCCCAGACUCCUACGGGAGGCUGCAGUCGAGAAUCAUUCGCAAUGGGCGAAAGCCUGACGAUGCGACGCCGUGUGAGCGAAGAAGGCCUUAGGGUCGUAAAGCUCUUUCGCUUGGGAAUAAGACAAACUGGCUAAUAUCCAGUAAGUUUGAACGUACCAGGUAAAGAAGCACCGGCUAACUCCGUGCCAGCAGCUGCGGUAAUACGGAGGGUGCAAGCAUUAAUCGGAUUUAUUGGGCGUAAAGGGCGCGUAGGCGGGGAUGUAAGUCAGACGUGAAAUCCCGGGGCUCAACCUCGGAACAGCAUUUGAAACUACAUCUCUCGAGGGUAGGCGGAGAAAACGGAAUUCCACAAGUAGCGGUGAAAUGCGUAGAUAUGUGGAAGAACACCGGUGGCGAAGGCGGUUUUCUAGCUUAUUCCUGACGCUAAAGCGCGAAAGCAAGGGGAUCAAACAGGAUUAGAUACCCUGGUAGUCCUUGCCGUAAACUAUGUAUACUUGGUGUAACUGGACUCAACCCCUAGUUGUGCCGUAGCUAACGCGUUAAGUAUACCGCCUGGGGAGUACAGUCGCAAGGCUGAAACUCAAAAGAAUUGACGGGGACCCGCACAAGCAGUGGAGCAUGUGGUUUAAUUCGAUGCAACGCGAAGAACCUUACCCAGACUUGACAUGCAAUAGACCGGUCUAGAAAUAGGCCUUUCCUUCGGGACUGUUGCACAGGUGCUGCAUGGCUGUCGUCAGCUCGUGCCGUGAGGUGUUGGGUUAAGUCCCGCAACGAGCGCAACCCUUAUCAUUAGUUGCCAACAUUUAAGGUGGGAACUCUAAUGAGACUGCCUGGGUUAACCAGGAGGAAGGUGAGGAUGACGUCAAGUCCGCAUGGCCCUUAUGUCUGGGGCUACACACGUGCUACAAUGGUCGGUACAAAAGGCAGCGAAGCCGCGAGGUGAAGCAAAUCCCGAAAGCCGGCCCCAGUUCAGAUUGUAGUCUGCAACUCGACUACAUGAAGACGGAAUUGCUAGUAAUGGCGAGUCAGCAACAUCGCCGUGAAUACGUUCCCGGGUCUUGUACACACCGCCCGUCACAUCAUGGGAGUUGGUUUUACCCGAAUCCGCUGGCUUAACCGCAAGGAAAGAGGCGUGUAAGGUAAGGCCGAUGACUGGGAUGAAGUCGUACAAGGUAG